CGGACGGAAUACGGAAGAUGAGUCUCGCUUCUCUCCAGCCCUGUACAGGGCAGAGGCUGCUUUUGUUCUAGAUGACAAGAUCUGGUCUUGUGAAAGACACUCUCCAGAGUAGAAGGGGAAGUCUGGAAGGUUCCCACAGCGCAACAGACAUAUUUCUUUAAGACGCCUAAAUUUAAGGAACUCCCCUCAGGCGCUCACCGGUUUCCUUUGAUUGUUACCACUGGCUCCUGGAGGCGAGGCCUUCAACAAGCGCAUGAGCAAAUUCCAGGCCACCUAUUACUGGAUCAAGAUCAAGUUCAAAUCCCAGGCACCUAUUACCGAGCUGAGCAACCUUAGGAGAGCAAACGGCGGGCCUGAGGAAAAUGAGACUCCGACAGAUCGCUCCAAGCCCAUGCUCCUUCUGCACCGCAGCCUCAACUCCGUGCAUUCGCUGAUCAAACAUUGAUAACAAGGCAGAUUCGCCAGCGGUUCUGUUUUGCACAGAGCGAUGAGUAGUGCUUGGGCCUCCGCCUACUUUCAGGAAGGAAAAUACUCAGCUUCCCAGCUGCCAAGCCUGGAUACAGUGAUUCAUUUCCUCUGCCAGGGGCAAAGCAGAUUGAAAAAUAAAUGAGGAGUUCCUGUUGUGGCUCAGCGAUGAGGAACCCAACUAGUAUCCAUGAGGAUGUGGGUUUGAUCCCUGGCCUCGCUCAGUGGGUUAUGGAUCUGGCAUUGCCGUGUGCUGUGGUGUAGGUCGUAGACGUGGCUUGGAUCUGGCAUUGCUGCGGCUGUGCAUAGGCCAGUAGCUAAUGCUCUGAUUUGAUCCGUAGCCUGGGCAGUCAAGUCACCACAUGCUGCAGGUGCAGCCCUAAAAAGACAAAAAAAAAAAAAAAAUCGAUUAUAAAUAAGUGGAAGUGAGACAUAGUACCUUCUAAUGAAUGGGUGAACAUAGUCCCAUCAGGAGCUGAAAUCAAUGAAGCAACAAGAGAUGGCAAUUGAGAGCAGGAGGACACUCUCCUUCAGUCUCCUGAGGUCAUCUCCUGUCCCUCUCACACCUGAGACACCUGCCACACCCCCGCAAGACACUAGGGGGGCUUCCAGCUGGAGCCGUGUGGGCUACACAAAAUAGAUGAUAUCCAAGCUGCCUGCCUCCGUCCCUGCUGUCUGAUGGGGGUAUGGGCAGCGCGGGGCUCUGAGUUAACUAAAGCACAAAUAGAACUUUCAAAGGGCUAAGUUUAGGAAGUGCAGAGAGUCAUGAGGGGACGAUUAACAGCAGGCUUGAUCUGGUAGGAAGGUGUCGACUCUGAGGAACACCACCAGAAGUGAGGGGUAGAGACCCUGAACUCAAGCCAGCCAGGCAGGGGGUGGAGCAAUCACCCACGUGGUCCUGGGUGGGCGGGGCUGGGCCGUCUAUUUUCUGUUAAAUGCCUGCAGGGUUCCUUUGCCUCACUGGUCUGCCCUAAGCCUCCCAUAUUUCCAAGGGGCGGCUUGACCCUGCUGUGGGCAGCACCCGAGAUGGUAUCACGCCCUUUCCUGAGAUCAGCUUGGGUUCGUCUCCUCCGUUUCCUCUGCCGUGUGGCAGUCCUUCCCUCCAGACUCCAAGUCUAGGAGUACCUGCUGUGGCUCAGUGGGUUCAGAAUCUGACUGCAGGGGCUCCUGUGGUUUCAGAGGUGCAGGUUUGAUCCCCGGCCCUGCACAGUGGGUUAAAGGAUCCAGCGUUGCCACAGCUGUGGCUCAGAUUCCAUCCCUGGCCCGGGAACUUCCAUAUGUUGGGGUGCAGCCAUUUUAAAAAAAUUAAAAAAUAAAAUUAAAAAGAAGAUGACACCAAAUCUGCCUAGACAAGGCACGACCCGUCUGAGCAACAUGCAGCUGAGGAGCUAGUGGACUGAUUUGCUUACUGUGCAUGUCAAGGUCAUUUGACUGCAGCUUGGAAGCGCUGGACUGUUUGGCCUCGCCAUGGUCACUCAUGAGCUAGGCAUUUGCUUCCACGUAUCGGCCGACAGCCAGAUCCAGAUGUGCUGGCAUCCUGUGGACGCAGCCCAGGUGUGCUGCUGCGGCUAAUGCACUCCCUCGCUCAUGGGGUCCCUCGGCCAAAGGCUGUUGCGCACCAGCUCUGUGCCCUGAGGCCUUCUAGCCUCAGAGGUCACCAUGGUGGGUGCGACAAGGAGGCCUCUGCUCUCACGGAGCUAAUGUUCUAGUGAAGGGAGAUGAAGGAGCCGCAAACAACUAGAAAUCAGCUGGUGAUGAGAGCCAGGAGGCAAGUCGAGGAAGGUGGAGUGCCCCCUUUUAAAGGAUGCUUGCUGACGAAGGUAAGGUCACCCACAGACCCAUGUCCUUCUUCGGACGGUGUCAAAGGUGAUGCUGAAUGAAUCUAGCAAAGGGGCAUUUUAUGAGGCUUUUGAUUCUGAAAUGGGUCAUUCAUAAAAGUUUGGGCAACCCUAGCAACCUGAUAACCUGGUCUUCUCAGUUGAUUAACGAGGAGAUGAGGCCCAGAGCUGGUGAUGGAGCUGGUGAGGCGUAGAGCUAAGACCUGUGGUCUCCUGACCCGCCGUCCAGCCCAGCUCUGCCGGAGCCCCCGCCACCCUGGAGACGCUGCAGAGACAGAUUCUCUGCACGAGUCUCGUUUCCAAGAUGUACGUGGGUUCAUUCAGCCUUGUAAAUAAUUCCCCCAAGUAGUCAAGCCGGCAAGCAUACCCCAUCGACCUAAAUUACAGCUUAAGGGUCUGCCACCCUUAACCCAACUGUCAUCCGCUUCCUCGUCCCUUCACUCCCCCUCCUACCCCUUUCAAAUCCCGAGCCCUCCUAGUUUUCCAAUGACUAUUUCGAGUUUAGGCAUCAGGUCGUCACUUGUACCAAUUCAAGGCUUGUGUCCACGGGACAGCAGUUUAUGGUUGGAGGUUAUUUCUGUUCCCAGGAGCAGUGCCCGCC
rnacentral:lncRNA from 9 species